rnacentral:rRNA from 1 species
GGCGAACGCUGGCGGCGCGCUUAACACAUGCAAGUCGAACGGAAAGGCCUGCUUUCCCUUGUGGAUUGCGGGUACUCGAGUGGCGAACGGGUGAGUAACACGUGAGUGAUCUGCCCCCAACUUGGGUAUAAGCCUGGGAAACUGGGUCUAAUUCCCGAUAGGACUGCAGGGUGGUGCCGGUGGUGGAAAACGAUUUUCUAGUGGUUGGGGAUGAGCUCGCGGCCUAUCAGCUUGUUGGUGGGGUAAUGGCCUACCAAGGCGGCGGCGGGUAGCCGGCCUGAGCGGGUGGACGGCCACAUUGGGACUGAGACACGGCCCAGACUCCUACGGGAGGCAGCAGUGGGGAAGAUUGCACAAUGGGCGGAAGCCUGAUGCAGCGACGCCGCGUGGGGGAUGACGGCCUUCGGGUUGUAAACUCCUUUCGACCGCGAGGAAGCCACCUGGUUGGAAGGGUGGUGACGGUAGUGGUAGAAGAAGCACCGGCUAACUACGUG